CAUUACUCUAUUUGAAUUUUCAAACACUCUAUGAAUAAGUACUUCAGGGUUCAGUUUCUGUUCCCUGUCGUCAGGUCUUUUUUCUUGAACCACGUUAGCUGAGCGUCCUUCAGCUCCAGCUGCUGUUACUGACGUAGUGUUGAUGGAGACAGUGGUGUAAAAUGAGGAACAGAGCUGAGUGUUUCCAUUACAUUUGUAUUAGUGUUCACUUUAAUUACUAACUGGUCACAAACAUUUUUCUUUCUUUUUCUUCAAGUGUUGGCAUUAAUAUGAUAUCAUAUUUAAGUUAAAUAAUUAAUAUUUUAUCUGUUAAAGAAAAAAAAAUAUUUUCAUGAUCUCAGAAAUUUUUGCUUCUUUGUAAAUUGGCAAAGAGUUUGUUUUAUUGGUGCUCUUCCAAAAAUAUUAAAGUGGUGUGUUAAAUCAAAUGUGUUUUAAAGUUUGUUUAGAGAGCAACAUCACCCUCUGCUGGUUAAAGAAGACACGGAACAUUUUCUACUUAAAUUGUCUUGCACUGAGGAAAAGUCAUACUUUCUCUUCUCUAGUGCAAUGACCUAAAGUAAAACAUGAUUUGGGAGAAUAUUUGUUAUUUAUGUGACAUUGGUGAGUUCUUUUGUAUAGAUAUCAAUUUGAUAUUUCUCCGGGGUCAAUCUUUUAGGGUUACAGACAGUAACCACGCAGUUAACCAACUGGGGUGCACUGAUGGAUUGGCCAACUGAUCAUCUGCAACAAUUUCCUUCAUUUUGCAGGAUCGGUGAUCGGCCAAUUAUUUUAUGUGAAACCGAUCUUAGUUACUGAUUCCAUGUAACUCCACAAAUGUGUGAAAGUGAGCCACCGCCACUUCUACUCUUCCGUGAGAGAGGGCUGACUGACAGGCUCAUCCACCCGUUUUGUCUGCAAGUGAAAAAUAAAUAUUUUGAAACUUAUUUUUUACAAAGAAUUUGUUUUUUUUUAAUUUUUCUUAAAUAUUGUAUUUUUACAAAAAAAUCAAAAACUUUCACCUUCUGACCAACAUGACACAUUAGUGUCUCCGAAAAUAAAACUUUCUCAAAAACGACUAAACAUACACUAAUUUGUCUUAAAAUAUUGUAGUUGAUGUUCUUAUGAUCCCAAAUCAAAGACAGGAACGUCGAGGCGCAGUUACGCGUUGAACUGAAACUGUGUUUUUAUUACAAAGUGAGCAAGAACAAGAAAGAGAGUAUACAGAGUACAUUCAAACAAAACAAUGUAUGAAACGAACUUACAGAGACUUUUCUCUGGAGUCAUUGCCGAUCUAGUAGCCUGCCGGUUACCCAGGACCUAUGCCAGGAGCGCUGACUGACUGACUGUCCCGGGAUCUCUGGAUUUUGGUUUUUUCUCCAUGACCUUCCUUUGCAGUUACUGGAACUGUUCACUCAGUGGGACUGGUCCACCUUCCUGGCCGACUAUGGAAAACCCACCUGUAAAUACCUGAGAGUCAACCCUCACACAGCACUCACCCUGCUGGAAAAGAUGAAGGAGAGCAGCAGGAGGAGCACAGUCUUCGCUCAGUUUAAGAAGACGGACAGAGAUCGGCAGAAGCUCAUCGACACGGUGGUCAAGCAGCUCAGGAACCUCAUCUCUCAGCAGCACUCCUAAAUGGCCGACUCCCAACCAUGUGACUGCCCCAGAAGUUAUCAGUGAUUUUAGUCUGUGAGCAAAAAUCAUAGAUUUGAUGCCACUUUGUUCAGUUGCUGGGGUUUUUUUUUAAUUGUUUGUUUUUAUUUGCAAAACGUUUUUGGACUGAUGCACUGUAUUUGAUGUUACAUUAAAUCCACUAACACUUCAGAGGAAUACAAUAUAAAUAAAGGUACAGUUGGUAAAAAGUCACAAAUACCUGUUCACUAUUUUUGUGUUUGAAUCCUUUUUGUCACCAAGGUCUGGCAUAACUUCGACAAAUUAUUUUCAUGCAUUGUUUUAUUUGCACAUUUUGUGACUUUGGAGUUUCUGGUACUUUUUAAUUUCAGAUUUUUUUGCAGGUAUCACAGUGCAGUGCAUGUUUUUAGAAAUGUAUUUCUAGAAUCUUUCUAGAAAGAUGUAAUCAUUACUGCUCACAUCUUACUUAGAUUACUUUACUGGCCCAAACAAAUGUCUACCUCCAGCUCUGCAACUUUGGUUGUUU